UGGCCUUGACAUACCAAGAAGCUAAUAGAGAUAUAAGUGUGCUAGUUUACUAGAGCUUGGAUACAGGUGCUGCACGGCUGUCGUCAGCUCGUGUCGUGAGAUGUUAGGUUAAGUCCUGCAACGAGCGCAACCCUCGUGUUUAGUUACUAACAGAUUAUGCUGAGGACUCUAGACAUACUGCCUGGGCAACCAGGAGGAAGGUGAGGACGACGUCAAGUCAUCAUGGCCCUUACGGCCAGGGCUACACACGUGCUACAAUGGGGUAUACAAAGAGCCGCAAUACCGCGAGGUGGAGCAAAUCUCAUAAAAUACCUCCCAGUUCGGAUUGAAGUCUGCAACUCGACUUCAUGAAGUUGGAAUCGCUAGUAAUCGUGAAUCAGCAAUGUCACGGUGAAUACGUUCCCGGGUCU
rnacentral:rRNA from 1 species